CUGGGAUCUAAGGUCCGCCUGGAGCCUCCUCAUCCUGUCUGCAAAGCCCCUUCUUACUCCUCCCCCGCUCGAGCUGGGGUUUCUGCCUCAGAUCCACAAGGAAGAACCCAGUGUGGGACACCAGGAAAUUACACUGUGACGAGGAUGCAAGGUGACAAGCUGUGAUGCCUAUCCCUCCUCCUACAUCCCUCCAUGCAGCACUCUCCCUGAGUUCCAGGCGGCUUGUCUGAAUCGUCUUGUUUAACCCACACUGCAAUCCUGCAGAGGGAAAACUGUUAUGCUCAUUUUACAGAUGAGAAAACUGAGGUUAAGUCACUUGCUGCAGUCAGGAGCUAGUAAGUGGAGGAGGUGGCAGUCGAAUGCAGGCUGUUGUUGGAAGAUCCGUGAUCACUACACCAUAGGGGCCUGCUUCUCCUUGCAGCUCCCCACUCGGUGGGAGUUUGCUGGGAGCAGCCUUCUAGGUCCGAAGGACAGAAUCCAUGGCACCAAGUGAAAUUAAGGAGCUGCCCACCCUGGAAUAGCAGGUGGAAUACAACCCAAAUUGUACCCAUCAGGCACUGGUACUUAGGCCCUAAAUUCAAGAGCUUUCACUUCCUCUUCCUGGGCAAUAUUGAGAAUUAGUAAAUAAAUGGCCCCAGCCCUAACCCAUGUACACCUCUGUGCUGACCCGAUUCAGUCCGGGGUAGAUAAUCUAUGCCUUUUCCCCACAGUCAUGCAUGUGGACUCCCCUUUGUAGAGCUUCUAAAACAGCCUUGACUGCAAAUAAAUUAAUUCUCAGGGGCAGCAAGAACUGGGCCCUAAUAUCUUUUCGGGCCCUCAUUUUCAGAGCCGAUGCUG
rnacentral:lncRNA from 10 species